AUGAACGCUAGCGAUAGGCUUAACACAUGCAAGUCGAGGGGCAGCACAAGGUAGCUUGCUAUCUGGGUGGCGACCGGCGCACGGGUGCGUAACGCGUAUGCAACUUGCCCUAUACAGGAGGAUAACCCGUCGAAAGACGGACUAAUACUGCGUAUGCUCACAACUUGGCAUCAAGUGGUGAGGAAAGAAAUUCGGUAUAGGAUAGGCAUGCGUCCCAUUAGCUUGUUGGUGAGGUAACGGCUCACCAAGGCAACGAUGGGUAGGGGAACUGAGAGGUUUAUCCCCCACACUGGUACUGAGACACGGACCAGACUCCUACGGGAGGCAGCAGUGAGGAAUAUUGGUCAAUGGGCGCGAGCCUGAACCAGCCAAGUCGCGUGAAGGAUGACUGUCUUAUGGAUUGUAAACUUCUUUUAUACGGGAAUAACAAGAGUCACGUGUGACUCCCUGCAUGUACCGUAUGAAUAAGCAGCGGCUAACUCCGUG
rnacentral:rRNA from 1 species